rnacentral:rRNA from 1 species
GCAGCCGCGGUAAUUCCAGCUCCAAUAGCGUAUAUUAAAGUUGUUGCAGUUAAAAAGCUCGUAGUUGAAUUUCGGAAUCUGUCCAUCGGUCGGGCUUCACUGUUCGUACUGGUGUGGUGGGUUCUUACCUUCUGAAUAACCAGCAUGCCAUUAAUUUGGUGCGUUGGGGAAGCAGGACUAUUACCUUGAAAAAAUUAGAGUGCUCAAAGCAGGCCAGUGCCUGAAUACAUUAGCAUGGAAUAAUAAAAUAGGACGGCAUGGUUCUAUUUUGUUGGUUUCUAGGAUCACCGUAAUGAUUAAUAGGGAUAGUUGGG